UACGGGGGGUGCGAGCGUUGUCCGGAAUCACUGGGCGUAAAGGGCGCGUAGGUGGUCUGAUAAGGGUGUGGUGAAAGUCCGGAGCUCAACUCCGGAUCUGCCGUGCCGACUGUCAAACUCGAGGGCUGUAGAGGCAGACGGAAUUCCGGGUGUAGCGGUGGAAUGCGUAGAGAUCCGGAGGAAGACCGGUGGCGAAGGCGGCUCUCUGGUACGUGACUGACGCUGAGACGCGAAAGCGUGGGGAGCAAACAGG
rnacentral:rRNA from 1 species